GUGUCAGCAGCCGCGGUAAUACAGAGGUCCCAAGCGUUGUUCGGAUUCAUUGGGCGUAAAGGGUGCGUAGGCGGCGAGGCAAGUCUGGUGUGAAAUCCCGGGGCUCAACCCCGGAACUGCACUGGAUACUGCCUUGCUAGAGUACUGGAGAGGGAACUGGAAUUUACGGUGUAGCAGUGAAAUGCGUAGAUAUCGUAAGGAAGACCAGUGGCGAAGGCGAGUUCCUGGACAGUUGCUGACGCUGAGGCACGAAGGCCAGGGGAGCAAACGGGAUUAGAUACCCUAGUAGUCC
rnacentral:rRNA from 1 species